GAAGGGGAAGUGUUUCAGCAUCUCAGCUGAUUGAUUAAAAAAUGGUGCAAUAUUUGUUUGAUAACGGAGCAGAGCUUAUAAAUCCUGGGAAAAUAGAUCUACAGGCUUCAAAUCCGCUUCCGGCAUAAAAGAAUUGUUGAGCAAUUUUAUCAUAUAUCAAGAGGAAUGCAAACAUUAUUGGCAAGCAUCAAUUGGAGGACUAUCUUCAAGCAAGUGCGUGUUUUCUGAUGGAAGAAAAGGUUAUUGAAAGAAUUAUCGGCUGUUUGGUAUACGAGACGCACAUCAGCACGCGACAUGAACAUGUUUAUGCUUUUUAGCCAACGAUUCUGCGUCACAAUUGAAAUUGACAAUCAAGACAAACACAGCCGCAAUUGUGAGAAACACACAUACGACGGACGAUGCACCGCCUGCGUUCCACAGUUACCCAUGGCCGACACUGUCGCAUGUUUGUUGGAUGUGAGUCAAUCGGGCGGAUUCCACGAGCAACGAAGUACAACACAACCGAACGCAUCUGCACUGCAAUCGUCUGGCCCGGGACAGUGUAGUGGUGGUUUUUAGUGUUUUGAUUCGCGUUCAGGUGGUGGUUUCGUUCGGCAGAGUGUGUUUUUCGCACAGUUCGCGCUAUCGUUCGUGGCUUCCGCUGACUCGGAGCUGAGGAGAGAGGUAGGAACAUUUAAACACAGUCACCUCGCACAUCACCAGCUCUAUGUACGGCCGGAUGCUGUGCUUUCGAGGUGCGGGCAGAACAGUACGAAUGCGAUGCAGUUAAUCGAGAAAUCGUUUUCGAACGAUACCGUAUGGGAAUCACUCAGCAGAAGUGAACGAAAGGAAUGAAUAAGCAUACUUUCUUCACUAACAUUUCAGGAACUUAAUGAUAGUUAAACAGUUCCAUUCAGCAAGAUGCAUCUCGGGCGAGGCGAAUGGCAAACGCGAUAUGCCCUGACAUGAACGUACGCCAUGCGGUCCGUGAUGGGAACGAUGAGUUUUCGUGCUGAGAAAAUGUUUGUUCCAGAUGCUCGUCAACACUGGUGGGGCAACGGCACAUUCCAUCGUGGCGUUCCAUCGUGGUGCAUUUUUGCAGGACGCGCAUAUGCUGCUUGCUGGACAUCAGCUAAAGCGGGGAGGUGAGUGGCUGUUCAGUCGAGCGGACAGGGUAGAUGGAUGACAUUCGUGCAUCGCGUGCUGGCGAGCCCGAGCAACGCUGACGAUUGGCCGAGAUUAAAACAGGAUUUCUCGCAACAGAGCGCUCGUGAGUGAAUGGCUCCCCGACAGUUGCUACCGGCAAUGAUUUUAUGCUUGAACGCAGAAGGGCAAGAAGACCACUAACCGCUAACAGAUCGAAGAAGAAACGGUAGAAAAAGAAACAAUCGGAAACAUAUUCACAUUCCAGCGGGUGAGCUGGAGAUAGUUCCUUUACCCAACGUGAGAUGGCGCUAGCAGUAUUAAUGGAUGCAAAAUUGACAAAAUCUUGCAAAAAAAAAAAAAUGCAAAAACGGUUCUAGAAAAUGAUUUCUUGCUAAGUUUACUAAAACAUUCUAACGGUUGAAGACAUUAAGUAUUAACAUGUUAAAAGAUUUUCUCAUGAACCUUUACAAUAAGAAUACAUAAACAUGACAAGUAAAAUUAAUUCUACAAAACUAAUUGAAAAGAAUAAUUCCAAAUUAUUCAUACAAUAAAAUCGAUUCCUUCAACAAGAUGCACAGUAAUAAAGAUGAAAACAAAUAAAUCUUCUGCUCGUCGUAGAAGCAGACAAAAAGCA